rnacentral:rRNA from 1 species
UCCAUUAAGCCUUUUUUCAACUUUUGACCUCGGAUCAGGUAGGGAUACCCG